ensembl:lncRNA
UUCUUAACUGUCGAAAAAGUAAGAAAGAACUUGAAAUUAGUAUGAGAAAUAAAACAGAUGACGGAAACUUUUUCGUGAAACAGUGCAACUACAAUAUGCGAAAAAGUAGACAGGUAAAGCACACACACUUGGGAAGUGGAAACAUCUCGAAGUACCGUAGAUGUGAGAAAUAGAAAGAUGACACUGCAGAGCCAUAGUCAGCUGAGCAUGGACGUUGAGAUACUUGUCCGGUAAUUAUCAGGCCUUGAAGUAUAUGAAGUCCAUUUUUGCACCCCCACCCUCUUCUCUCCCUCUCAGUUUUCCACCCUGCAUUUUCACAGUCUGGGCGGCCCAGGAAAUGCCCUGUUGUCUCGGCUUUCCCUUGGCUCCACAAUUCACAUUUGCCUGCUAUCCCCACUUGAUCAGAUACACCAGCCGCUGGGAGAGGCUCAGGGGGUUUCUCUUCCGGGCAACUUCUUUUUCACAGUGAGUGCCCUGACAUCCAGAUGUCUCAACCGAAAGGACUGAGUUCAUAGUGAGAACCUCAGGUAUUCCACAGAGCCCAGAGGAGGAGGUAGCCAGGGGCAGGUGGAUGGUCUGUUCAGAUGUGCUCGUAGCAGCAGCCGAAGUGAGGAGAGUGUAAUUCACAAGAACGUCACUUCCCGUUUUUGGAGCUCAUCAGUGGGCAGGCACUGUGCAUUUUACUCAUUUAAAGCUUUAGCACACAAUUUGCCUUAGCCCCUGCUUUCUAAGGAACCCAGGCUAAGACAUCUGCCUUCCUGAUAAAGGAUUUCAGCUGCUCCAGCCACAGGCCUCCUUUGGGUCCAUCUGAUGGUCAGCAGCACCUUGGCCUUUCAAUUCAUUUCAUUCAACAGAAAUUUACUGAGCACCAUGUGCAAAUUGAUUGAACAAAGAUAAAAAGACAGUGUCCAAUAAAUAUGGGAGUGCUACCAGGCCUUAAUAAAGAAGAACGCAGAAAGGACAAAGGCAUUGCCAGCACCAAAUAAACUAGUCAUAGAUAUAAGUGGAGGACGUGGAAAGAGAUAGAGAUCUCAUUGCAGUUAAGUUCGCAUGUUCUGCAGAUUCUGAUUCCGGAUGUCUGGGGCGAGGUGCAAGACUGUGUUUCUAGCAAGCUCCCAAUGAUGUGGAUGCUGCUGGUCAAUGGCUCGUACUUUGAGCAGCAAGGCCCUAGAGCUUGUAUCUCAACCUGAAAAAGAAAGGGAACAUCCAGGCCGUAUUUAAAUUUGGAGAGGGCUUAGUUCAAAACAGAUGCAGAAAAACUGAUCAACAUCCAACUAAGCCAAAGAGCAUUGUAAGGCCCCAGGGAGUGAGGACUGUUUGGGACCAGCUUCGGACAGAAGUCAGGAUGCUGGGAGGAAAAGGAAGCAAAUGAAAGAGGAAGAAGACAGAUAAGGACUGGGAGGGAUAAACGAAAGCGAUUUCGUGUUGAGAAAGAGAGAAUGUCCUUUCAGGUUGAGAACAUUCCCCCAGUCUAGAUCAAAGCAGAGGCCGGGGCUCUGAUACACUCUGACAGAAGCGCUUUUUGCACAGAUGAGCAGCUCAGUGCCCUCAAAUGGACCAAUCUAAUUGC